UUACAGCAGUGGUUUGGUUGCAGAGCUGUGAUUAUAUGGACAUUCUCCACACUUGGUAUACAGCAGUUCAGACAUGCAGCCCCAUUGGAAUGUGCUGAUAGAGAUAUACUUUUAAUUAUUCGGCUUCAUUAUAUUAUGAUUGGAUUUGA